UACGUAGGGGGCAAGCGUUGUCCGGAUUUAUUGGGCGUAAAGAGCGUGUAGGCGGCCAUGUAGGUCCGUUGUGAAAACUCGAGGCUCAACCUCGAGACGCCGAUGGAAACCAUGUGGCUAGAGUCCGGUAGGGGACCACGGAAUUCCUGGUGUAGCGGUGAAAUGCGCAGAUAUCAGGAGGAACACCGGUGGCGAAGGCGGUGGUCUGGGCCGGCACUGACGCUGAGGAGCGAAAGCGUGGGGAGCGAACAGG
rnacentral:rRNA from 1 species